UUCCGGUUGAUCCUGCCGGACCUGACUGCUAUCGGAUUGAUACUAAGCCAUGCGAGUCAUUGUAGCAAUACAAGGCAGACGGCUCAGUAACGCGUAGUCAACCUAACCUAUGGAUGGGAAUAACCUCGGGAAACUGAGAAUAAUGCCCAAUAGAACACUAUACCUGGAAUGGUUUGUGUUCCAAAUGAUUUAUCGCCGUAGGAUGGGACUGCGGCCUAUCAGUUUGUUGGUGAGGUAAUGGCCCACCAAGACUAUUACAGGUACGGGCUCUGAGAGGAGUAGCCCGGAGAUGGGUACUGAGACACGGACCCAGGCCCUAUGGGGCGCAGCAGGCGAGAAAACUUUGCAAUGUGCGAAAGCACGACAAGGUUAAUCCGAGUGGUUUCUGCUAAAGGAACCUUUUGUUAGUCGUAGAACCACUGACGAAUAAGGGGUGGGCAAGUUCUGGUGUCAGCCGCCGCGGUAAAACCAGCACCUCAAGUGGUCAGGAUGAUUAUUGGGCCUAAAGCAUCCGUAGCCGGCUCUGUAAGUUUUCGGUUAAAUCUGUACGCUCAACGUACAGGCUGCCGGGAAUACUGCAGAGCUAGGGAGUGGGAGAGGUAGACGGUACUCGAUAGGAAGGGGUAAAAUCCUUUGAUCUAUUGAUGACCACCUGUGGCGAAGGCGGUCUACCAGAACACGUCCGACGGUGAGGGAUGAAAGCUGGGGGAGCAAACCGGAUUAGAUACCCGGGUAGUCCCGGCUGUAAACUAUGCAAACUCAGUGAUGCAUUGGCUUGUGGCCAAUGCAGUGCUGCAGGAAGCCGUUAAGUUUGCCGCCUGGGAAGUACGUACGCAAGUAUGAAACUUAAAGGAAUUGGCGGGGGAGCACCACAGGGGGUGAAGCCUGCGGUUCAAUUGGAGUCAACGCCGGAA
rnacentral:rRNA from 1 species